CCAGGUCUACUCUUGGCUUCUUAAAAGGGAUGUUGGCAAGUGUCAGAGAGCAUUAGCAACAUGAGGACCCAGUCCUUUCUUCCCGCAGCUCACUGGAUGGCCAGCCCAGACUGCAGGGCGUUCCACUAGGCCUUAGAGAUACAAGGCAGAAAGUCGCCUUGUCUUCAAGAAGCAGACCAUGCUCCAUAAUACAAUGAGUGUCCUGCUGAAGAACAUCUGCCCAGAUUCAUAUGGGAACCUGGAGAAACCAUGUGGAAAACUGAUGAGAGGGAAUCAAAGAUGGAUGGCACCCAAGAAACCCGACACCUGGGACAUCUUGGAGCAAAGGAAUCCGAGCGCUCGUCCUCGUCCUCUGUUCUCCCUGCUGAGAUUGUUUUGAGAUUACUUGGCUGUUGUACUUUUAUCUCUCCUUGUAAACUUCAGAACAAGUUUGUCAGUAUCCACAGAAAGCGCGGAGGCAUCUUCUCUUGUAAGGGAAGCAGCAGUUUUCACCACUUUGUUCCUAUUCUGGUAUUCAAGUCUUCUCUCUCUCUCUCUCUCUCUCUCUCUCUCUCUCUCUCUCUCUCUCUCUUCGAUAGUCUGACUAAUGGUUUGUCAAUUUUAUUGAUCUUUCCAAAGUACCAACCUUUGAUUUCAUUGAGUUUCCCUAUUAUUUUUCUAUGUUUCGUUUAGUUCUACCAUAAUCUUUAUUAUUCCUUUCCUUGUGCCGGCUUUGGUUUUGUUUAUUCUUUUUCUAGUUUCUCAAGAUGGACAUUUAAGUCAUCAAUUUUUAGAUCUUUCUUUUUUUAAAAAAGAUUUAUUUAUUUUCAUUUGUGUGUUUGCGUGUUUGCCUAUAUGUAUGUAAAUGUACCACAUGUGUGCCUGGUACUCACAGAGAUUAGACAAGGGCAUCAGAUCCCCUGGAACUAGAGUUAGAGAUGGUUGUGAGCUGCCCUGUGGGUGCUGAGAACCGAACAGGGGUUCUCUGCCAGAGUUGAACCACCUCUCAAGUCCCUAGAUCUUCCUUUUUAAAAGGCAUUUAUGACCUUAAAUUUCCCCUGUAAGCACUGUUUUAGUUAUAUCCCAUGUUUUUUGUAUGUUGUGGAUUCAUUUUUUUAAUCUCAAAGUCCAUUUGCUCACCAUCAUUUGAGUUACAAGAGUAUUGAUUUAUACACAUUUAUGGCUUUUCCCAAUUUACUUUUACUACGUAUUUCUGAUGUCAUUUCAUCAUGGUCAAAGAACAUGUAUAAUGUAUAUUUUUUUAGUGUAUUGAGAGCUGAAGUAUGACCUAACACAUGUUGUACCUUGAUGAAUGCCCUGGGUCUACCUGAGAAGAUGUAUACUCUGCUGUCGUGGGUGGAAAGUCCUGUACAGGUGCCUGCUGGGUACGGUGAUCUGGAGUGCUCUUUAUGUCUUCUGGCUCCUUCUUGACCUUCUGCUUAGCUGUUUUACUCACCACCUACGGUGGGCUAUUUAGGUCCUUAGCCAUCGCUAUUGUGUUGCUGCUUCAGUUUUGUUGGCUAUUACAUCAUAAAUUUGGACAUGCUUGUGGUUGGGAUACUUUAUUGUUGGAUUUGAUCUUUUUAUUAUUAUAAAAGAUCCUCUUUUGUUUCUA